UCUAUUUCCUAUAUACAUGCUUUUAAAACAAAUUUAGUUUGUAAUUUGGUUUGUCAAUCUAACCGAAUAUAUAACAACCUAUACAAGAAUCAAAGUCGAUCCAUUUGACCCUCGAUCACGCAAAUUCUUAAAGCUGUUACCUAACUAAAUAAAUAAUAUCUCCUAUUUUCUAUAUUUUUAUAUACAAUUAAUAUUAGUUUGUUCAAAAUAUUCUAUUUCCUAUUUACGCUUUGAUUCUAUUUUUAUAUACAUAUUUUUGUAUAGAUCGGAUGAGCUUACAGCACGACCUGUAGCAGUUGAAUAUGUCAUAAAUACCUAACCGGAGAGAGGAGGUACACUGUGGCUGACAUUACAUAGUCUUGCUGUAAAGCUAACACAGUUUGAGUUUCAAACACAUUUGUAGAAUGCAGAUCAUAAAAGAGUGGGAGGCUACUAAACUUCGGUUUCAAACCAAAAAAAUCAACAAGGUUGUUUUGCUCAUGUCUCAAAGAAUAAAGCUGAACAGAAAAAAUGAAUGUUGCUUCAUUUACCUUUUUAUGUCUUUAAAAUUAGAAAGAGUUAAUAUGACAAAUCUUUGUAACAGGACUGCUACUUGGAGUAGUGUUCGUCAGAUGAAGGUGAAGGUAAAUAGGAUUCCAAAGCCAAAGAUAGAGAAAGCAAAAGCCAGAAGGAGAAUGCAAUGGAGAAGGUUAAUUCAAAAGGCUCAGAAGAUAAUACCAAAACGGGUUGAUAAUAAUGAAGAUUUUAAAGGUAUAAUAUUAAAAGUAUAUAUUAUAUAUAUACAUAUAUUGUAAAUUGAUAAUAAUAUUAAAAUUUAGUAAAUAUUUAAAUUAUUCUAAUAUAUGCUCAGAAGAUAAUACCAAAACGGGUUGAUAAUGAAGAUUUUAAACUCACUCAAUUCAGCUUACACCGGUUUCUACGUGUUUCUAAAGAAAAAAAUGAGCUUUCACUUUUUUUCUCAUCAUCUGCCGAGAAAAUAAAAACGUGAUUAAGACAGUAGAAGCUCACAUAAGUUUUUUUGUCGGGGAUAAAACAAUUUGGGCCAUGGACAUUUAUUUACAAAAUCCGUUAAAAUUGGGCCAUGGACCUUGAUUUAUAUAACCCAUUUUAUUUGCUAUACAAAUUAUUAUGUGCAAUAUUAUGUGUAAUAAUAAUGAUAUUAUAUUA